rnacentral:lncRNA from 1 species
GUGAGAAUGGCGGGGUCAGCGGACAGCAGUGGGGCUACAGGCUGUGUCUGUGGCUGCCCUGGCUUAGGGCUCUGGCUGGCCCCUCCUUUCCGACCUGGUCUGGCAGAGCAGCCCCGCAGGACCAGCUCGCAAGGCUCCUGGGGCCAGUGGGGCUCUGUCCUGUGAGGCGGUCCCUCCGCAAGGACAGAGUCAGAGAGAGGCUGGCUGGAGUGCAGUGGUGUGAUCUCAGCUCACUGCAACUUUCAUCUCCUGGGUUCAAGCGAUUCUCCUGCCUCAGCCUCCUGAGUACAUGGGAUUACAGGUCUAUCAUUUUUGCUUCAUGUAUUUUGAAACUCUUGGUUAGAGACAGGGUCUUGCUGUGUUGUCCAGACUGGUGUUGAACUCCUGGUUUCAAGCGAUCCUCCCACCUGGGAUUACAGGCAUGAGCCACUAUGCCCAAUCAUCUCUCUGAGCUUCUUGGAUCUGUAGUUUGUAUCUUUCAUUAUUUUCUGAAGAUUCUUGGCUAAUUUCUCUUUAAAUAUUUCUUCUUUAAAAAAUAUCUACUUCAAAUACCUAAUAUAGAUGACGGGUUGAUGGGUGCAGCAAACCAUCAUGGCAUGUGUAUACCUAUGUAACAAACCUGCACGUUCUGCACAUGUAUCCCAGAACUUAAAGUAUAAUAAAAAAAAUUUUUAAAAAGAAAAAUUAAAAUCUACUUCCUUCCUCUGGAAUUUUAAGGCUUAGGAGAAGAGUUGUGUACAUGUCCAGAAGAAAAGUGGAGUUGAGUCAGUUUAUUAGGAUGUGGUGUGGGUUUGGGAUUUUUUUGUUUUUGUUUUUGUGGUUGCUUUCAGUGUACCUCCAACUUCAAAGCAUUGUGCUUAGAGUAGAGGCUGGGUUUCCAGAGGUUUUUUGUUUUGUUUUCUUAAAAUGUUCCUGCUUUACUUGCAGCUUUCAGAAUUCCCAGUGGACCUGUACCUUGGAGGGAUGUUUCUUGAUGCAUGCUUGCCCCUUGUCCAGCAGUGGUCUCCUGUUCCUUGUUACUCAUGCUUGCUAGUCCAGUGAUGGGGACCAGUGAGGACUCUCUACUGUCCUGGUCCAGCCUCACUAUUAGACAGGCUAAAAGUUCUGUCAGCCUGUGGGAAGGGCAGGAAAUGGUCUGGCCCAAGUUCAUUAGAGGUUUUUGUUAUUGGUUUGUUUGUUUGUUUGUUUGUUUGUUUUGAGACAGAGUCUUGUUCUGUCACCCAGGCUGGAGUGCAGUGGUGCGAUCUCAGCUCACUGCAACUUCUGCCUCCUGGGUUCAAGCAAUUCUCCUGCCUCAGCUCCUGAGUAGAGGGGAUUACAGGCAUGUGCCACUAUGCCCAACUAAUUUUUGUAUUUUUAGUAGAGAAGGGGUUUUGCCAUGUUGGCCAGGCUUGUCUCAAACUCCUGACCUCAAGUGAUCCACCCACUUCAGCCUCCCAAAGUGUUGAGAUUACAGGUGUGAGCUAUCGCACCUGGCCAUGAGGUGUUCUACCACUGUUGGAAGGGUAGAAUGUUCUUUCCAGGUCAAGAUCCAUCAAAGAAACAAGGAAAAGUUUGGCUGUCUCAGAGAGGGGAUCAGGAUCACCAGGAAAUCUCCAGACAUGGAGAGCCAGUCUUUCUUGUGAGCAUCCAGUAAAGGUCUGUGGAGAAAAAUGUAUGAGAGAGGUGUGAAUUUUUC